rnacentral:misc_RNA from 1 species
GUGAAUCAUCGAAUUUUUGAACGCGAAUUGCACUCUCUGGCAUUCCGGAGAGUAUGCCUGUUUGAGGGUCAGUAUUAAUAAAAAUUGGGGUGGGUGGUGCAUUGUGUGGUGACGGAAGGGAUGUGGGUCGUCUCGUCUUUGGUUAAGUGACUUAAAAUUUAGCAUGUUUGCUUAGAACGUAUUUAAAUGAUUUUAUGUAUGUUUGCGUUUAUGC